rnacentral:rRNA from 1 species
UACGGAGGGUGCGAGCGUUGUCCGGAAUCACUGGGCGUAAAGGGCGCGUAGGUGGCCCGUUAAGUGGCUGGUGAAAUCCCGCGGCUCAACUGCGGGGCUGCCGGUCAUACUGGCGAGCUAGAGCACGGUAGGGGCAGAUGGAAUUCCCGGUGUAGCGGUGGAAUGCGUAGAUAUCAGGAGGAACACCAGUGGCGAAGGCGGGUCUCUGGGCAGUAACUGACGCUGAGGAGCGAAAGCGUGGGGAGCGAACAGG